rnacentral:rRNA from 1 species
AUUGAACGCUGGCGGCAGGCCUAACACAUGCAAGUCGAGCGAGCGGCGGACGGGUGAGUAAUGUAUGGGGACUGCCCGAUAGAGGGGGAUAACUACUGGAAACGGUGGCUAAUACCGCAUACUAUCGGAUAACCCAUAUGGGAUUAGCUAGUAGGUGGGGUAAAUGCUCCCCUAGGCGACGAUCUCUAGCUGGUCUGAGAGGAUGUUCAGCAACAAGGGGAAGUAGACAAGGCCCAGACUACUACGGAGGCAGCAGUGGGGAAUAUGGAACAAUGGGCGCAAGCCUGAUGCAGCCAGGCGGAGUGUAUGAAGAAGGCAGGAGGGUUGUAAAGUACUUUCAGCGGGGAGGCGUUACCCGCAGAAGAAGCACCGGCUAACUCCGUGCCAGCAGCAGCGGUAAUAC